GACGUAGGGGGCCAGCGUUGCUCGGAAUUACUGGGUGUAAAGGGUUCGUAGGCGGUGUGGCAAGUCGGGAGUGAAAUCUCUGGGCUCAACCCAGAGUCUGCUUCCGAAACUGCUGUGCUUGAGUGUGGGAGAGGCGCGUGGAAUUGCAGGUGUAGCGGUGAAAUGCGUAGAUAUCUGCAGGAACACCCGUGGCGAAAGCGGCGCGCUGGACCACUACUGACGCUGAGGAACGUAAGCUAGGGGAGCAAACAGG
rnacentral:rRNA from 1 species